AGAACGAACGCUGGCGGCAUGCCUAACACAUGCAAGUCGAACGAGACCUUCGGGUCUAGUGGCGCACGGGUGCGUAACGCGUGGGAAUCUGCCCUUGGGUUCGGGAUAACAGUUGGAAACGACUGCUAAUACCGGAUGAUGACUUCGGUCCAAAGAUUUAUUGCCCAGGGAUGAGCCCGCGUAGGAUUAGCUAGUUGGUGGGGUAAAGGCCCACCAAGGCGACGAUCCGUAGCUGGUCUGAGAGGAUGAUCAGCCACACUGGAACUGAGACACGGUCCAGACUCCUACGGGAGGCAGCAGUGGGGAAUUUUGGACAAUGGGGGCAACCCUGAUCCAGCCAUUCCGCGUGAGUGAAGAAGGCCUUCGGGUUGUAAAGCUCUUUCGGACGGAACGAAACGGUUAGACGUAAAUAACGCUGACUAAUGACGGUACCGUAAGAAGAAGCACCGGCUAACUACGUGCCAGCAGCCGC
rnacentral:rRNA from 1 species